UGAACGCUGGCGGCGUGCUUAACACAUGCAAGUCGAACGAUGAAGCCUAGCUUGCUAGGUGGAUUAGUGGCGCACGGGUGAGUAAUAUAUAGAUAACGUGCCUCUUAGUCUGGGAUAGCCAUUGGAAACGAUGAUUAAUACUAGAUACUCCUUCUAACUCUAAUGUUAGUCGGGAAAGUUUUUCGCUAAGAGAUCGGUCUAUAUCCCAUCAGCUUGUUGGUAGUGUAAGAGACUACCAAGGCAAUGACGGGUAGCGGGUUUGAGAGGAUGAUCCGCCACACUGGUACUGAGACACGGACCAGACUCCUACGGGAGGCAGCAGUGAGGAAUAUUGCACAAUGGGGGAAACCCUGAUGCAGCAACGCCGCGUGGAGGAUGACGCAUUUCGGUGUGUAAACUCCUUUUAUAUGUCAAGAAAAUGACGGUAGCAUAUGAAUAAGCACCGGCUAACUCC
rnacentral:rRNA from 1 species